UGCGUACGUGCGCUUGAACACGGACCGG
rnacentral:sRNA from 1 species